CCUACGGGUGGCUGCAGUGGGGAAUAUUGGGCAAUGGGCGCAAGCCUGACCCAGCAACGCCGCGUGAAGGAUGACUGCCCUACGGGUUGUAAACUUCUUUUAUAAAGGAAUAAAGUGAGGCACGUGUGCCUUUUUGUAUGUACUUUAUGAAUAAGGAUCGGCUAACUCCGUGCCAGCAGCCGCGGUAAUACGGAGGAUCCGAGCGUUAUCCGGAUUUAUUGGGUUUAAAGGGAGCGUAGAUGGGUUGUUAAGUCAGUUGGGAAAGUGUGCGGCUCAACCGUGAAAUUGCAAUUGAUACUGGCAGCCUUGAGUACAGUUGAGGUAGGCGGAAUUCGUGGUGUAGCGGUGAAAUGCUUAGAUAUCACGAAGAACUCCGAUUGCGAAGGCAGCCUACUAAACUGCCACUGACAUUGAUGCUCGAAAGUGUGGGUAUCAAACAGGAUUAGAUACCCUUGUAGUC
rnacentral:rRNA from 1 species